rnacentral:misc_RNA from 1 species
UCCAGCAUCUAAUUUUUGCAUGACCUUCCGGGGUAUAAGAAAUUGUAGAUAGCUUUCAAUGACAUCCAAAAUUUUGCCCCAUGAAUCAGCUUUUUUGGACAAGGCAUGAAGAGAAAAUAACAAAUUAAUAGAGAAUUUCCUUAGAUUUCUGUGAUCUGCCAGUUCCUUCUCCAAAGCAAAAUCACCUCCAAGAUCUGAUACAUGAAAUGAUGACACCAAUGAACUGCAUCCGGUUUCUAGAAUCUUCAGUAAGCGAGGAAUAAUUUCUUCAGAUGAGAUAAUUGAUGUGCCAACAAGUGAUUCAUAAAAUAUAGCAGAAGCGGUUUUUCCCAAUUGUUGGUUGACACUAAUAAUGCAUCUGAGCACUUCCAUAAGAAUCUCACGUUCAGAAUCAUCAUUGCAUAAAUCCAAUCCAAAGCUGAUUGGAUCAAGAAGCUCAUCAGAAGAACCAUCAAUAAGCAACUCAAUUUUUUCCAUAUCACGAAAUAAAGUUACUGAACUCUUUCUGACCAAACCAAUAACAUUUGCA